rnacentral:rRNA from 1 species
AUGAACGCUGGCGGCGUGCCUAAUACAUGCCAGUCGAGCGAACGGACGAGAAGCUUGCUUCUCUGAUGUUAGCGGCGGACGGGUGAGUAACACGUGGAUAACCUACCUAUAAGACUGGGAUAACUUCAGGAAACCGGAGCUAAUACCGGAUAAUAUUUUGAACCGCAUGGUUCAAAAGUGAAAGACGGUCUUGCUGUCACUUAUAGAUGGAUCCGCGCUGCAUUAGCUAGUUGGUAAGGUAACGGCUUACCAAGGCAACGAUGCAUAGCCGACCUGAGAGGGUGAUCGGCCACACUGGAACUGAGACACGGUCCAGACUCCUACGGGAGGCAGCAGUAGGGAAUCUUCCGCAAUGGGCGAAAGCCUGACGGAGCAACGCCGCGUGAGUGAUGAAGGUCUUCGGAUCGUAAAACUCUGUUAUUAGGGAAGAACAUAUGUGUAAGUAACUGUGCACAUCUUGACGGUACCUAAUCAGAAAGCCACGGCUAACUACGUG